UUUGACGCUGGCGGCAUGCUUUACACAUGCAAGUCGAACGGUAACAGGUCUUCGGAUGCUGACGAGUGGCGAACGGGUGAGUAAUACAUCGGAACGUGCCUAGUAGUGGGGGAUAACUACUCGAAAGAGUAGCUAAUACCGCAUGAGAUCUACGGAUGAAAGCAGGGGACCUUCGGGCCUUGUGCUACUAGAGCGGCUGAUGGCAGAUUAGGUAGUUGGUGGGGUAAAGGCUUACCAAGCCUGCGAUCUGUAGCUGGUCUGAGAGGACGACCAGCCACACUGGGACUGAGACACGGCCCAGACUCCUACGGGAGGCAGCAGUGGGGAAUUUUGGACAAUGGGCGAAAGCCUGAUCCAGCAAUGCCGCGUGCAGGAUGAAGGCCCUCGGGUUGUAAACUGCUUUUGUACGGAACGAAAAGCCUGGGGCUAAUAUCCCCGGGUCAUGACGGUACCGUAAGAAUAAGCACCGGCUAACUACGUGCCAGCAGCCGCGGUAAUACGUAGGGUGCAAGCGUUAAUCGGAAUUACUGGGCGUAAAGCGUGCGCAGGCGGUUUUGUAAGACAGUGGUGAAAUCCCCGGGCUCAACCUGGGAACUGCCAUUGUGACUGCAAGGCUAGAGUGCGGCAGAGGGGGAUGGAAUUCCGCGUGUAGCAGUGAAAUGCGUAGAUAUGCGGAGGACACCGAUGGCGAAGGCAA
rnacentral:rRNA from 1 species